GGAUGUGAGGGCAAUCUGACUGUGGCAUCUGUCACUGUAUUGAUUGCCAGGGUUGAUUCAACUGAGCUGGCUGGCUAGGCGGGUAUUCCUUUCCUCCCUUAUGGUUCCAUGUGGGUCCCUCCUGAAAGCUAUGCACAUGGUCAAAGAGGAUGGCCAUCCCCACUAGAGUAGUACCAUUCUUUGCACAAGACUUUAUGAGUAGCUGUGCUCCCCUUCCAGAACCUCUAAACAAGCUCUUAGGGAAAUAGAGAAGAUGGCUAAGUACUGAUGACAUUGUUUAAGCCCCCAGUUAUGACUGUGCUUGAAA
rnacentral:snRNA from 1 species